UCGAGAAUCUUCGGCAAUGGGCGAAAGCCUGACCGAGCGACGCCGCGUGCGGGAUGAAGGCCCUCGGGUUGUAAACCGCUGUCGUAGGGGAGGAAGGCUCCGUGAAGAACGGGGUUUGACCUAUCCUAGGAGGAAGUACGGGCUAAGUUCGUGCCAGCAGCCGCGGUAAUACGAACCGUACAAACGUUAUUCGGAAUCACUGGGCUUAAAGGGUGCGUAGGCGGCCAUGUAAGUGAGGUGUGAAAUCCCUCGGCUCAACCGAGGAACUGCGCUUCAUACUGCAUGGCUUGAGGGAGACAGAGGUAAGCGGAACUGAUGGUGGAGCGGUGAAAUGCGUUGAUAUCAUCAGGAACACCGGUGGCGAAAGCGGCUUACUGGGUCUCUUCUGACGCUGAGGUACGAAAGCUAGGGUAGCGAACG
rnacentral:rRNA from 1 species